UCAAUCUUUACUCACGAGUAGGCUUUGAUGAUGCGUUGCCGCGUAGGAUACGUGUGUGAGUGGGAUGCAAGUUAAAUAGGUUGUCGACGUUCUGGUUGCUGGGCGCACGAACUGUAGGCUACUGCGGUAAAGGAUGCGUCUGCUUGAUGGCUUAAAUAGGCUACGUAAAGAGACUGACAGAAAAAUAUGAUAAUAUCUUUAAAACAGCCUUUUGGUUUCGGCGCAGACGGAUGGGACCUUUUCAACCUAAUGCAAUCAAAGCACGAUAUACGUAUAUGGAUCCUUGUCGGCUGAUGCUCAGGGAGUCGUGUUGGGAGACGCAUACAAGGAUUGCCUACGACAAUUAUCCGACAACAAGCAACGACAGUUUAGAUGUCUGGGCAACGUCCAGUUUGGAGAAUCUGUGUGCCAUACGGUAAGAGAAGCAAGCGGAUUACGACAUUUUUGAGCGCGGUGGAGUCGAUAUGCACCCUUUUCGAAUCGAAACAUUUCGUGACGGUUUUGUGUACCACGAUGGAUUCAUUGUCUUAAAAGCCACCUUCCUCAUUCGAUAUUCAUACGGGUAAGCUUUUUUUUUAAAUGCUGCAUGUGAAUACUCUUUUGCGCAGCCUAAGUCGGGGCUAUCUGGGCUAAUCAUACAGACAUCAUCUAUAUAGCCAGCCUCAUUCUUACAAUGGCCUAAUGCCGUUGUUAAUUUGGGCAAGAACAUCUACUUCGUAAUAUAAAAUCAUGAUAAUGCUUACUGACGAUUGAGUUCAUGCAAACAAAUGUAAGCACAUUUUGGUUUAAAAAUGUGUUUUCAAAUAAUUCAUAGUUCAUUAGCCCAUAACAUUUCAAAUGGGAUUCAGCCCAAAAACACCAAUCAAAGUCUAGCAAAGAUUGUGUUAAAGGAUAAAAUUGGUUCACACAAUGCCAGCCACAAGACCUCUCUUGUGGGCAGAUAUUGAUUUGAAGCCUUAUUUGAUUUGGAGUCUUUCUCCAGUAACAUUCUUUCAGAAAUGAAAUGAGGUAUUGAAUACUGUCUGCAAUUAUAUUUCCGAUCAAGCCUUUUGCUCCUCCUCUAGGUUUUCUUUUUUUUUUUACAUGGACUGAAUUGUUUCGUCUGACGCCCUAGAAAUACUCUGAAGCUGCAUAUCUGGAUGGAGAACGAUGUUGACAGCACAGUCACUGAAUGUUAUUCAGGAUCCCAGAGCACACAACGUUCCAUUUUAUAGUUGUUGACGCCUCCUUUUGUACGUUUUAGGAUUGCACGCUACCUUAUAUUUUGAUACUGUCAAAUAAAGACUGCCACAAUGCUCCAGCAGAACAAUAACAACAACUAUCCAUGUCUGGAGAUGGCUGGCUCCACUAGGGAAGUGCUGCAGAAGUGCCAAAAAAGCUAUCUUCCCUUCACCAGUCGUUUGGAGCUUGCAGACAUGCCCUUAGUCAAGGGCCUUCGGGCCUGGGCGGUGUGCUCCAAGGAGCGGAGGAGGUCAGCGCCGUCCACCAGGGCUCCAGGGACCUGCCUCGGGUCGGCAGACAUCUACCCAGUGGGACAGUGGGGCAGGGUGGGUCGUGAUCUGGGGCUACCGCUGGAUUCCACCUAUUCCUCCCAGCCCAGGCAGGCAGGCCUCGGGGCUCUUGUGACGGUGGCCACAUUGAAGGCCUCUGAGGGAGGCGGUCAGACUCAGACACACUGUCUGUUUCUCAGUGCAGAGAGUGGCAGGUGCCUCUACAGCACAAGGGGCCCAAAGACCCACGGUCAACGUCUGGUCCCUCAGACUCCAUCCACCCUGGUGGGCAGCUGGCUCAGGGAUAAAGUGGGGGGAUUCAGGGACUCCUCUGUGGUGGGGAAAAUGGGGGUGCGCGACAUGGGAGGGGCAACAUACCAGGUGAAAUCGAGGUCCGGCCGGAGGUGGAGGACAUCCUGCAAAGCUGUGGCUCCUAUCCGGGGUAAAACACCCACCGAACGCAGGGAGGAUCCCAGGGUGCACACCCUGGAAGGAAGUCAGGAAAGCGGGGACAAAGGAGAGUUUCCGACCCUUGUCACGGACACACUGUCUGGGAAGCAGGACAGAGGAAACGCCAGAAGCCUCAGAUGCUGCCACGCUCAAACCAAGACCUGCACAGAGUGUCACCGGAGGAGAGGAGAGCAGGGGAACAGCAGCCGACAGAAGGGAUCUUCCUCCGUCUGUGUGGAGGAUCAGUUGGAGGGCGCCAUGGAGGGGAUUAAGGGGGAGGGGACUGCUGUCAGCCGACUAAAGCCCUGCAGCCUGCCCCCAGACACCAAGGACCCAGAAAGCCGCAGUAGUGACGUCAGGGACGGAGGACAGCCGGGCAACCCGCUGCGUCCUGAACUCUCCCACGACAAGGACCCCUUCCAGGACAAGACAGGGGAUGAAGACACCGGUACGGGAGGUGAAGACGUGUCCAGUGGUCACCCAAGACACGCGGAACGCGCUAACGGCACGCUGGGCACUGUGAACGGGUUUGUGGAGCAUAUCAAGUCGGCCGAACGUGAGUCGGCGAGGCUAGAAGGGAACGGGAGCACAGCUGUGGGGGGUGAUCAAUCUACGGGGAGACACUGCUGCUCUGAGAGAGGCUGCCUCAAACCCCCAUCCACACAGCCACCCACCCCAGCAGGGGGCAGCACUUCCGCUGCAGCCGAUGGGACUGGCUGUGGUCAGAUAAAUCCGGAAAUUAAAUCAGUUAGUCAGCUCAACAAGGAGGGAGAGCUUUGCGGGAAGUGUCUGCCAAAAGAAAAAGUCCCCGCGGCUGUGGAUAAAGAAGUGUUAGUGGUAGCUGAGCACAGGCUCCAUGGGGAGAAGGAGAAAGACGGCGAGGAGGGAAUCCAGUUGACGGCACCAGAAAUUAGGGAGCUCUGCGGGGAGUAUGGAGAUAUACAGCCUGAGGUCAGGAGCACAGACAAUGUUACCAGACUGGAAUGGGAAGCCAGGCAAGGGGAUUUCACAUCCCGAGGAGCGGAGAGAGGGCCUUACUGGGCAACGGAACGGCGUGAGUCAGAGGGGACGUGUUGGACGGAAGAAAGGUGUUUUUCUGGUUUAGCAGCUACCAUGACUGAGAAAGCAAUAGGAGGAGGGUGGAUGGAGUUGGAGACUGGGCAGUUUAAUUCCCCUUCACCAGGCCCUGCUACCUCUGUCACGCACACGCCGACUAAUCCGCUACCCCCGGGAGUCAUGGCAACAAGCUUCCCGGCUCUGGAGGGGGGACAGAUCGAAGCUGCAAGUGGGGCUCCGGCACCGCUGAUACUGAGUCUAGGGGAGCCAAACAGGGACCGGGACGAGAGCAAGGUAGCUGCCGACGCUGGGUUCCUGGAUGAGGAUACGGAGGGGGAUGAUGGUUUUGGGCAUUUCAUGCAAGCGGGGGAGCAGUCGUCCUGGAAUGACGGUUUCAUUGCAUCACCUCUAGUGCCUUCUGUGAAGAGUGCCGAAAUUGAAAACCCUGCCGUCACACAUUUGUCUACCCAUUUGACCUCAGACGUGACGGACUGCUCAUUUCACCAAUCAGAGGGUGCCUGGACAGCCUUCCAACAGAAUACGGACAGAGACGGACAAGACACGAGACGAGAGUGGUGGCCCACAAAUGCUGUGGAGGAGACAAGAAGCAGAUGCUCUAACAAGCAAAAUGUGAAUGGUGUGUUUGUGGAGGCCUUCUCCUCCCAGUCUACGCCCCCCUGUGAUUGUGAGGCAGUUCCCACACUCGGCCAGCUCCUCAGGAGCGUCUUGGAUCAUGAAAGCUCUGCAAAGGAUCACGGCUUACUGGACGGGUUCCAUGACCUGAACAAGAUGAUUGGAUUAAAAUAUAAAAGGGCCAAUACUGUUUCCCGUGAACGUCUUCUACACUCACUACAAAUAGGCCUGUGUAACACAGAAAAUAUUACUGGGAACCAGGCAGCAAGCCACAGUCCAUCUCUUGUCCCUCCCUUUUCAAGUGUGCAUACGCAGACCUGUGGGAAGAGACGCUUAUCUUAUGAUCUCAACAAGAACAUCAUGGAGUAGAUUUUCUCUUUCCUUGACUCUCAACAACAGAUGUUGUCUGCCCUACAAUGCCAAACCCCUGGGAGACUGUUUUCAUCCUCACAGGGGAAAUAACGGAACAAUUCACAAGAUUCAGACUGGAGCACUUGACCCCCUGGCGACCCCUAAUACUGUCUUAUUUAAUUUUGAAUUAACUGGAGCUUAUGUCAAUAGAUUCAACUGUGACAAUUUGGAUACACAUGGUUUUGUUUUGUAUAUGUGGGUCUCACAGAUAUUUUUAAAGAAAGGCAAAUGUCACAUUCUUAUUAAUUUCCUUAUUUUGGACUAAAAGACAAUGUGCAUUUGUCAGGCAAAGUGGAAGUAUACCCCCAACAAUUCACUCCACCCCCGAAAUAAACUUUGAGACAGUACUUUGUGUGCAGAGAAGUAAACACAUUUAUACACACACACAAACAAUCCUCUCCCAUCAUGUGAUGUCUGUCUCAGUACAGUAACAACCCUGGAGCAGAAUGUAUUCUAGGAUUAACUAACGCUGAACUUUACAUGAAGCUUAAUUUUUUUAUCAUACAGUAAAUAAAUGACUGUGUUUACUGACGUUCAAGUGGGUUGUUUCUAGCAGUCAGAAGGAACUUUUGUGCUGACAAAGAGAACAUUGGAUGUUUACAAUGAUACGUUUUGUUUCAGAUCACAAAAAAGCAAUUAUGUCAUACAAAGAUUAUACUUGUUUUUCUCAUUUGUGUUUGUGGGGAAACCCUAACUAAAUCAGCCCAUAACAAUGUAGUGGAUGUCUGUCAUUUGUACAUAAUUAAUUCCUCACGAAAAAUAUACAUAUUUUCUGAGUUGCUCAAAUGGAUAAAAAGAGAUUGUCAACUUGUUAAUUGAUGUAAUAAAAUGAUAUUGUGAUUAA
ensembl:lncRNA